GUCUUGUUGGAGAUUCCUCCUUGGUGGAGCUUUCCCCUCCAAACCUGGAAUCUUUUGAUAUGGGCCUGAAGUCUGCCUGUCCAGCGUAGCGCAAGGCACAUCAAACUCAGCUUUCUGCCAAAGGGGGCCCACUGUGACAAAGAAAAACGUCUACCCAUCUCCUGCAAGAAUGAGAAAACUGAGAAUUUACUUGGUGGAGUCGCUGUCUUACAUCUGCAGUGUGUGCACGCAGGCUGGAAGAGCAGUGCUGCCAGGUAGCCUGCUGGGUGUCCGCGCACUGCUGCAGCAGCUCACCACUCGGUUCUCAGCACACACGCACAUGAAAAACCAUUUUCUCCUUCAGUAUUUACAACCAACCACUCCGUUACCCACAUCCUGUUGACAGGAGAAACAAUGGAAGGCUCCUCAUAGCUUAUUACUCAUAAAACCUGACUCGUUCAGACAGAUCAUUUGCAGCUAGUGAACUCGAAGUGAUUACUUCUGACUGCAGUGUCCCUCAGAGCGUGAGGGCUGGGAGAGGUGGUGCUUUCAUUACUCCUCUUCAUUCACAUCUUUUUGGGCUUUAGUUCCCAGUUAGUUUCUUGGCUUUGAAUUUUUUGCUAUGUUUUUCUUUCAGAUUAUUCGACUCAUUCAGCUCCAAUAUUCUUUCGGCACAUGUAGAAAAAUUACUGUUAUCAAAAGCUGGUUCAGUUCAGCCAGUUCUCGUUCCAGAUGUUCAGAUGGUAAUUCCAUCACUUCAGAGAUUUUAUGUUCCCUUAAAACUUUAACAGCGAAUGCUUAUGGUUUUCACCUUAGAUGUUAUGAAACUCAUCUUUAAAAUUAUAUUGUUUCAAUAGCCCAUGGAAGAAUGUCACACUUGAUCUUAAAUAGGCUUAUCUCUAAGUAGGAUAUUGAUAUUACUAGUAAGUCCAGUUCAAGUGUUUGCAUAUGCAUACGUAAAAGCAUACGAAUAUACUUUAAAAGAAAACAAGAUUUUUCAAUGCCAUGUAGUCUGAAGUCCCGGCUUCCAGAGAUGAAGGGGAACAUUUAUGUUUGCAAAAUACCUGCCAAAAGAUAAUGGGUUCUCCUGGCUCGUGCUCUAUCUUAAUCGUGAAAGCACCGUUCCUCAGACGCCUAAGAUGGACUGAAGCUUCUUUUGAAUGUUCCUUGUAUUUGUUUUGUAUAUGAAUUAAAGACCUCAUAUCUGAAUGUAAUGACAUUUGGGGUUGAAUUUUAGGGUGGCUUAUGUAGGAAUAUAGCAGUGCUGUAUGCAGCUUUACAAGAAACCAUCUGAGGAGGGGGGAAUGGGAGGAUACGUUAUUUGGAAAUACUGAAAUGGUUCUUACUUGAACCCAGGAUUAGCAGAAAUGGGGCACAGAUGGUAAGAAGAAACAAGAAUAACUUUGAUCGUGUAAAUUUGAAACUUGCUGUGAGAACUAUUUCAAAAUAGUUAUUUUAGGAACCAAAGACAUUACUGUAGAAAAUGGAUGUAGGUGUUCUCACUGAAGCAGAUUUUCUGUGCUCGUUACCUGAAUGGAAGGGGAACUGUUUCUUUAAAGAUGUUAACAGAAGUUUUUGGCACAGAGACAAAAGCCCCACAGCAAGGCCACUGGUGCAGAAUCCCGGCCCUGCUGUCUGUGCAUUAGCAAAUUGUGCAUUAAUUAGCUGAUAGGGCUCACAAAACCGCUUUGUGGAACAGCGUUUAGCCAAUGAGGAGCAACAGCCACCUGUAUGUUCGUGAAGCCAAGCUGCCAGAGGAGGUGUGCCUCCCACCUUCAGCGAGAUUAGACUGAGAGUGUAAUUAAUCUUGUCUGAAAUGCACCUUGGCCAUUGGCUUCUCCAAACUUUGUUUUCUUGUAAUGUUUUCUUUGCCUUACUUUUUUCUUUUGCACAGGUUUAGCUUUUUAUCGUUCACCAGCCUGCUUGUUUCUGCAAGAUAAUUCCACCCCUGUAUUUGUCACAGUGAAGGAGCUGCAGCAGGAGAGCUGAGAGGCACAAAAAAGGCCCAGCUCAAUGAGAAGGAGUGCUCCUGUGGCCUGGCACAGCUUCUGUGCUGCUCUGCUUGCCCCUAUGCGUACAUCCCAGCACAGCCUUCUUUCUCUCUUGUUCAGCACUGCUUAUCAGACUGAAAGUUGAAAAACCAACCACGUAUUCGCACGAAAUGGCUCAACACCUAUAUUCUGGUUUUAAUACUAACUUCCUUGCCUCCUGUUCUUGGAAUAUUUCAUGUCAUGAAAAUCCUCGGUAUUCAUCUUUUUAUCUCAAAUGCAUCGCUCUGUUUCUCUGAAUAUCAAAAGCAAUGCUUUGUCUGGGAUGGAUGCUAAAACGCGUGACCAGCCUUAAUGAAGACAAUGCCAAAUAAACGCAAUUCAG
ensembl:lncRNA